rnacentral:rRNA from 1 species
UCUUGAGAGCGGCGUACGGGUGCGGAACACUGUACACUGCCUUUAUCUGGGGGAUAGCCUUUCGAAAGGAAGAUUAUACCCCAUAAUAUGUUGAAUGGCAUCAUUCGACAUUGAAAACUCCGGUGGAUAGAGAUGGGCACGCGCAAGAUUAGAUAGUUGGUGAGGUAACGGCUCACCAAGUCUACGAUCUUUAGGGGGCCUGAGAGGAUGAUCCCCCACACUGGUACUGAGACACGGACCAGACUCCUACGGGAGGCAGCAGUGAGGAAUAUUGGACAAUGGGUGAGAGCCUGAUCCAGCCAUCCCGCGUGAAGGACGACUGCCCUAUGGGUUGUAAAACUUUCUUUUUGUAUAAGGGGGAUAAACCUAACCUUCCGUGGAAGGGUAUUAAAGGUACUAAUAAAUUAAACCCGGGGUUAAACUCCCGUUGCCAAGCAGCCGGGGUAAAUACGGGAGGGGUGGNCAAGGGGUUUAAAUCCCCGGGGAAUUUGAAAUGGGGGGUUUUAAAAAGGGGGUCCCCNGAAGGGGGAUUUCUGUAAAGUCCCGCGGGGGGUGGAAAUUUUCCCCCCGUUUUUAAUCUGUUGUGUGGAAAAAUCUGGG